UAUCAGUCUCCUACGAGGAACUCCUCUGCCAGGAUGGGGAACGGUGAGAGUACGAACCUAACUCCAGUCAACAACAGCAGUUCACGACACUCAACGAGAAGCUGCAGAAUUCUAAA